GGAGCUAUAGUUCAGUGGUAGGACAACUUGCUUUGCAUGCGGAAGGUCCCAGGUUCAAUCCCCAACAUCUCCA